AAGGAAGUCAGGAGAACAGAUUAAAAGCAACGUUUGAACCGGUACCUCGGUUUGUCAGUACUGUCAGAAAACAUGAUAACUAAAGAAGCCUGGAUGCUAAAGCUAGCUUUGGAGCUGCUUUUGUGUCGAACAGGAGUGAGACUGGACGCUGAAUACACUUGCGGCGCGAAGGUGUCACCACUUCGUCCACGACAUCGUCCAUAAUCGCAGAGACAUGGUCCAUGAUCGGAGAGACAUUGUUGAGGAUGAGGGAGACAUCGUCCACGAUCAGAGACGUCGUCUGUGAUCACAGAGACCUUGUCAAAGAUGAGAGAGACGUUGUCCAUGAUCAGAGACAUUGUCCCAUGCUUCGCAGAGCUCUGCGCAAGAAUCGGUAGAGACACUGUGGUUCCUCGAUUCGACGGCAUGACCGCGAUCACGGAGACAUUGUCGAUGGUCACAGAGACACCGUCUAUGAUCUCAGAGACAUCGCCCAUGAUCAUAAAGACAUUGUCCAUGAUCACAGAGACUUUGUCCAUAAUCUCAGAGACAUUGUCCGCGAUCACAGAGACGUAGUCCACGAUCACAGAGAGUCUUCAUACUAUGAGGAAGUUCUUUGAGACCAGGACAGAGGCCUCCAGGUGUCACCACUCCGUCCACGUCAUCGUCUACGAUCGCAGAGACAUGGUCCAUGAUCGGAGAGACAUUGUUGAGGAUGAGGGAGACAUCGUCCACGAUCAGAGACGUCGUCUGUGAUCGCAGAGACCUUGUCAAAGAUGAGAGAGACGUUGUCCAUGAUCAGAGACAUUGUCCCAUGCUUCGUAGAGACCUUGCGAUAGAAUCGGCGGAGACGGGGGUCACCGAUUUGACGGCACUGCCCGCGAUCAUGGAGACAUUGUUGAUGGUCACAGAGACACCGUCUAUGAUCUCAGAGACAUCGUCCACAAUCACAAAGACAUUGUCCAUGAUCACAGAGACUUUGUCCAUAAUCUCAGAGACAUUGUCCGUGAUCACAGAGACGUAGUCCACGAUCACAGAGAGUCUUUGUACAAUGAAGAAGUUCUUUGAGACCAGGACAGAGGCCUCCAGGUGUCACCACUUCGUCCACGUCAUCGUCCACGAUCAUAGAGACAUGGUCCAUGAUCGGAGAGACAUUGUUGAGGAUGAGGGAGACAUCGUCCACGAUCAGAGACAUUGUCUGUGAUCGCAGAGACCUUGUCAAAGAUGAGAGAGACGUUGUCCAUGAUCAGAGACAUUGUCCCAUGCUUCGUAGAGACCUUGCGAUAGAAUCGGCGGAGACGGGGGUCACCGAUUUGACGGCACUGCCCGCGAUCAUGGAGACAUUGUUGAUGGUCACAGAGACACCGUCUAUGAUCUCAGAGACAUCGUCCACAAUCACAAAGACAUUGUCCAUGAUCACAGAGACUUUGUCCAUAAUCUCAGAGACAUUGUCCGUGAUCACAGAGACGUAGUCCACGAUCACAGAGAGUCUUUGUACAAUGAAGAAGUUCUUUGAGACCAGGACAGAGGCCUCCAGGUGUCACCACUUCGUCCACGUCAUCGUCUACGAUCGCAGAGACAUGGUCCAUGAUCGGAGAGACAUUGUUGAGGAUGAGGGAGACAUCGUCCACGAUCAGAGACAUUGUCUAUGAUCACAGAGACUUUGUCAAAGAUGAGAGAGACGUUGUCCUUGAUCAGAGACAUUGUCCCAUGCUUCGUAGAGACCUUGCGAUAGAAUCGGCGGAGACGGGGGUCACCGAUUUGACGGCACUGCCCGCGAUCAUGGAGACAUUGUUGAUGGUCACAGAGACACCGUCUAUGAUCUCAGAGACAUCGUCCACGAUCACAAAGAUAUUGUCCAUGAUCACAGAGACUUUGUCCAUAAUCUCAGAGACAUUGUCCGUGAUCACAGAGACGUAGUCCACGAUCACAGAGUCUUUGUACAAUGAAGAAGUUCUUUGAGACCAGGACAGAGGCCUCCAGGUGUCACCACUUCGUCCACGUCAUCGUCCACGAUCGCAGAGACAUGGUCCAUGAUCAGAGAGACAUUGUUGAGGAUGAGGGAGACAUCGUCCACGAUCAGAGACAUUGUCUAUGAUCACAGAGACUUUGUCAAAGAUGAGAGAGACGUUGUCCUUGAUCAGAGACAUUGUCCCAUGCUUCGUAGAGACCUUGCGAUAGAAUCGGCGGAGACGGGGGUCACCGAUUUGACGGCACUGCCCGCGAUCAUGGAGACAUUGUUGAUGGUCACAGAGACACCGUCUAUGAUCUCAGAGACAUCGUCCACGAUCACAAAGACAUUGUCCAUGAUCACAGAGACUUUGUCCAUAAUCUCAGAGACAUUGUCCGUGAUCACAGAGACGUAGUCCACAAUCACAGAGAGUCUUCGUACAAUGAAGAUGUUCUUUGAGACCAGGACAGAGGCCUCCAGCAGGUGUCACCACUUCGUCUGCAAUCACAGAGACAUGGUCCAUGAUUGGAGAGACGUGCAACAAUUGCAGUGACGGAGUUCCUCAUACAAUGAAGGAAUUCAGGACUGAGGCCUCCAGAUGAAUCCACAGAAACAACAGGAUCCACCAAAAUGGUGAUGGAGGAGGUGGAGAAUACUCCAUGACCUGAAGAGGACAUCAAAAGUAAUAAAAUGUUCUUGAAGUUAUGUGGACAUGUGUAACUGUGACUUUGUAAGCCUCUCCUCAUAUGUGGUCAUCAGUACAUUUACUGUGGGAUGAUUGAAUAAAACAAGUGUCUCCAGGUGGUCAAACAUCUGUCAUUAUCUUUGCUGUGGUUUGCUCAGUGUUGUGUGGAACAGAAUCAAUAAAGUUUUGUAGCUUAA